AGUGAACGCUGGCGGUAGGCCUAACACAUGCAAGUCGAACGGCAGCACAGUAAGAGCUUGCUCUUACGGGUGGCGAGUGGCGGACGGGUGAGGAAUACAUCGGAAUCUACUUUUUCGUGGGGGAGAACGUAGGGAAACUUACGCUAAUACCGCAUACGACCUACGGGUGAAAGCAGGGGAUCUUCGGACCUUGCGCGAUUGAAUGAGCCGAUGUCGGAUUAGCUAGUUGGCGGGGUAAAGGCCCACCAAGGCGACGAUCCGUAGCUGGUCUGAGAGGAUGAUCAGCCACACUGGAACUGAGACACGGUCCAGACUCCUACGGGAGGCAGCAGUGGGGAAUAUUGGACAAUGGGCGCAAGCCUGAUCCAGCCAUACCGCGUGGGUGAAGAAGGUCUUCGGGUUGUAAAGCCCUUUUGUUUGGAAAGAAAAGCAGUAGGUUAAUACCUCGCUGUUCUGACGGUACCAAAAGAAUAAGCACCGGCUAACUUCGUG
rnacentral:rRNA from 1 species